rnacentral:rRNA from 1 species
ACUGGUGAGUAACACGUAAGCAACCUGCCUAUUAGAGGGGAAUAACAGCGAGAAAUCGUUGCUAAUACCGCAUAUGCUGUGAGUAUCGCAUGAUACAAGCAGGAAAGGAGCAAUCCGCUAAUAGAUGGGCUUGCGUCUGAUUAGUUAGUUGGUGGGGUAACGGCCUACCAAGACGAUGAUCAGUAGCCGGACUGAGAGGUUGAACGGCCACAUUGGGACUGAGAUACGGCCCAGACUCCUACGGGAGGCAGCAGUCGGGAAUAUUGCGCAAUGGAGGAAACUCUGACGCAGUGACGCCGCGUGCAGGAAGAAGGUUUUCGGAUUGUAAACUGCUUUUAACAGGAAAGAAAAAAAUGACGGUACCUGUUGAAUAAGCUCCGGCUAACUACGUGCCAGCAGCCGCGGUAAUACGUAGGGAGCGAGCGUUAUCCGGAUUUAUUGGGUGUAAAGGGUGCGUAUACGGAGAUGCAAGUUAGUUGUGAAAUACCUCGGCUUAACUGAGGAACUGCAACUAAAACUAUAUUUCUUGAGUAUCGGAGGGGUUUGUGGAAUUCCUAGUGUAGCGAUGAUAUGCUUACAUGUUAAGAAGAACACCAGUGGCAAAUGCGACUUUCUGGACGAAAACUGACGCUGACGCGCGAAAGCCAGUGGAGCGAACGCUAUUAGAUACCCCGGUAGUCCUGGCCGUAAUC